rnacentral:sRNA from 2 species
GAAAGACGCGCAUUUAUUAUCAUCAUCCCUAUUAGAGAUGUUUAUUUGGCCACAGUUUCUGUGGCCUUUU